rnacentral:lncRNA from 1 species
GUUGUGGUGAGCCAAGACUGUGCUAUUGCACUCCAGCCUGGGUGACAGAGCAAGACUCCAACAAAACAAAAACAAAAACAAAAACAAAAAAAGAAACAAAAACAAAAACACAUGACCCCAAAGCGCAACAUCAUCAAAUUGCUUAAAAUUAGUGAUUUGGGUCCUCUGGAAUUAAAAGAAAAGAGAGAGAGAAACUAGUGAUAAGAAGAAAGCAGUCAGAGGGAGUUGGGGAAUGACGUUGUUUACGGAAGGAUGACAACAGAUUUCUUCUCAGAAAAAAUGUAAACCAGAAGACAGUGGUACUACAUUUUUGAAGUUUAAGUGCUGCUUGACUUAUGAUGGGGUUAUGUUCCAAAAAACUCAUCAUAAAUUGAAAAUAUCAUGUCUAAAAUACACUUUCAACUUACAUUUUUGAUUUAUGAUGUGUUUAUCUAGACAUAAUUCCAUCAUUAGUCAAGGAAUGUACUGAAUGUGUUUCACUUUUACACCAUCAUAAAAUUAAAAAGUCGUAAGUCAGGGAAAAUCUGUACUGCAAGAAAAACACUGUUAACCUAGAUAUCUUUGCCUAGUGAAAAUAUCUUUCAGAAAUGAAGAUGAGAUAAAGGCUUUUCAUACCAACAAAAGUGGAAAGAAUUCAUCAUAAGAAGACUUGAGUGAGAAGAAAUGCUAAGAAAGCUCUUCAAGUAGAAGAAAAUGAUACCAGAUGGAAAUCUGGAUCUCCACAAAGGAACAAAAAGUAUUGAGAAUGGGAACUAUCCUAUGUGGACUUUAUUCAUAAUAACCAAUCCUGAGGGAAAAUCUAUAAUGUUCGUCAAAAGAAGGAAAUCCUGGCUGUGCCUAUAAUCACAGCAUUCUGGGAGGCCAAGGCAGGAGGAUCACUUGAGCCCGGGAGUUCAAGACCAGCCUGUGCAACAUAGUGAGAUAUCGUCUCUACAAUUUUUUUUUUAAUUAGCGGGGUGUGUUGACACACACCUGUGGUCCCAGCUACAUGGAAGGCUGAGGUGGAGGAUUGCUUGAGCGCAGGAGGUCAAGGCUGCAGUGGUUUAUGACCACACCAGUCCACUCCAGCCUGGGUGACAGAGCAAGACCCAGUCUCAAAAGAAAAAAGAAGGAAAUCCUGUCAUUCAUGACAUCAUGGAUGAAACUUCAGGGCAUUAUUCUAAGUGAAAUAAGCCAGUCAUAGAAAGACAAAUACUGCAUGAUCUCACUUAGAUGUGUGAUAUGGUCUGGCUCUGUGUUCCCACCCAAAUCUCACCUUGAGUUGUAAUUCCCAUGUGCUGGGGGAGGGACCUCAUGGGAGGUGAUUGAACCAUGGGGCGGUUCCCCUGUGCUGUUCUCAUGAUAGUGAGUGAGUUCUCAUGAAAUCUGAUGAUUUUGUGAGGGGCUUUUCCCCCCUUCGAUCUGCACUUCUCUUGGUCUUCUCCUUCUUGCUGCCAUGUGAAGAAAGACAUGUUUGCUUCCCCUUCUGCCAUGAUUGUAAGUUUUCUGAGGCCAAGCCCUGGGGAACUGUGAGUCAAUUAAACC